GUCAGGUUGGCCGAGUGGUCUAAGGCGCCGGGUUUAAGUUCCGGUUCCCGAUAGGGAGCGUGGGUUCGAACCCCACACCUGACA
rfam:Bombyx mori DNA, contig: Bm_scaf35_contig20971, strain: p50T/Dazao, build 2, whole genome shotgun sequence.